AAUGAACGAGAGUCGGAUUCACUAACCUGCCAGUCCACGCAGUCCGGAAACCGAGGAGCAACUGAGAGAGGCUUGAAAACCUUCGUGGCUGACUAGUGUACGAUGAAACUCCUUAAUGCUUCAGUACUAGAUAUAUUUUUCAUUAUACGACAUAACAAGAUCUAGAAUUGAAUGAAGCUAGAAGACAAAGAAACUUAGCGAUAUUUCUCCACCGACACCGCUCAUUUCUUCAUAUCUCGAUGAAGAACCAUUAUUGUCUCAGAAGAGCUAGUCUUAUCGGGAUGGAAUAAUCAACGCAAAACAAUGCCUUUUUAGUCUUCUAACGACGUCAACAGUUCUCUCUGAUACAGGUAUCGAACGUCAAAUUAACAGACUUUUUGGCUGGCACAAUUAAACUUCGAAAUUUCCGUAAUUUCUUUCAGAGCAGUAAAUUUCAAAC